AAGUCGUAACAAGGUUUCCGUAGGUGAACCUGCGGAAGGAUCAUUAACACGUAUCCAACGUUAAACAACCCUGUGAACUUUCAGCGCUCUUGUAACCAGGCGGAACAGCAAUCCCGGUAAAUCAAUGGUGGAACAGUUUUGAUUCGGGACCCAGUGGCAUGGUUUCCCUAAGCAUUACAGAAGGAUCCACUGAGUACGGAUAACGCAUCACGGUUGCCAGAGGUCGAUCACCGGCCGGCAGACAUGCCACAGGGCUAUAUGCCCCUUCAUUCACACCUUGCCUAAUCAUGCCCCGCGGAAACGCCGGGCACAAAAACUGAACAACUGUUAACAAUGGAUAUCUUGGUUCUC
rnacentral:misc_RNA from 1 species